rnacentral:rRNA from 1 species
GACGUAGGGGGCCAGCGUUGUUCGGAAUUACUGGGCGUAAAGGGUUCGUAGGCGGUGCGGCAAGUCGGGAGUGAAAUCUCUGGGCUCAACCCAGAGGCUGCUUCCGAAACUGCUGUGCUUGAGUGUGGGAGAGGCGCGUGGAAUUGCAGGUGUAGCGGUGAAAUGCGUAGAUAUCUGCAGGAACACCCGUGGCGAAAGCGGCGCGCUGGACCACUACUGACGCUGAAGAACGAAAGCUAGGGGAGCAAACAGG